GCGCGCGGCUUCCUUUAGUGCGCGUCUGCCCGCCGCGCCGCACGCAUCCCACCGCUCCGCUGCGCUCCCCCCGCCUGCAGGCCGACAAGAUGGAGGACAGCGCCAUGGACAUGGAGAGCAUGGGCCCGCUGCGCCCCCAGACCUUCCUCUUCGGCUGCGAGCUUAAAGCAGAUAAGGAGUACAAGUUCAAAGUAGAUGAUGAAGAAAACGAGCAUCAGCUGUCUUUGAGAACGGCAAGUACUAUUUUUUUAGGGUUGUCUGGAA